ensembl:lncRNA
CCUGUAAGGUUAGUGGGCAGUUUAAUACAGAUUCAUGGCGCUUAUCUGAAUCCCUUGGGACCAGAUGUACUUCAGAAUUCAGAAUUUUCUGGAUUCUAGAGAAACACCACAGUGUAUAUUCUAUGCACCAUCUUGUACCUCCAGAAGAUUCCAGGGCAGACCCACAAUCCAACUCAUUACGAUUUCCUCAGUAAAACACAUGAAGAUUGACAGUAAGUGAGACAAUUCAAGACCACAAACAGCCUCGUGGCAGCUCAGGUCAGGUUUUGCCACUAGAUACAUUUUGGAGCUAGAAGUAUGUUUAAAAAAGAAAAAAACAACUUUCAGAGGCCAGAAUUUUUGUAGCUCAGAUUUUUCGAGAAAGAACCAUGGUCUGUAGUCUUUUUGCUGCUUUGUGAGGGAAACUGGCUUAGUGGGACAAAAGGAGGGAAGGCAGGGUAAGGAUGAAGUCAGCAGCUUGGGAGGAAAAUCCAUCUGUGUUUGGAUCCUGGCUUCACCAACUGCAAGCUGGGUGUCCCUGGGCCAGUAGCUUGCCCUUUCUGGGCCUCAUCUCUGAAGAGUACAGAGCUGUGGAGAAGACUGCAGAGAAUGGAGCAUACAAAACUCUCAGCAUAUACCCAGCUGGCACUGAAUAGAGAGAACCGACUGGUCUCGGACGCAAUGAGAACAAAAAAAAAGAACAUAACAAGGAGGAUCCCAAGAGAAGAGGUUUUCAAGCAGAUGCUGAGACUGCCUAAUGAUGGUUUAACUAGUAUCCAAGCCUUCCAGCAAGGAAGAGGGAAAGGAGACUGCAUUAGGAUGGCUAGUUUUACUUGUCCUCCUGGGAGCUCGGAUAUUCAAGUGAAGUAUUUAUUUUAAAAGUUGCUGUCUAUUUAUGGCAAAUGAGAAAGGAUGUGUCACGUGGACACUAUUCUUCCUCCUGCUGCACGAGGGGCCUCGGUGUAGACGUGCAGCACAAGCGUGCCUGUGUGAGUGCCCUGGGCCCCAGUGUAUCUGAACAAAGG